rnacentral:rRNA from 1 species
UACAGGGGGUGCAAACGUUGCUCGGAAUUAUUGGGCGUAAAGCGCGCGUAGGCGGCCGCUUAAGUCGGAUGUGAAAGCCCCUGGCUCAACUGGGGAAGUGCACCCGAAACUGAGUGGCUUGAGUACUAAAGAGGGUCGCGGAAUUCCCGGUGUAGAGGUGAAAUUCGUAGAUAUCGGGAGGAACACCGGUGGCGAAGGCGGCUUGCUGGGCCUUACCUGACGCUGAGGAGCGAAAGCGUGGGGAGCGAACAGG